AGGCUUACUGGGGCCCAAGCAAUAACCAUAGAAAGCCCAAAAACUGUGAUAAAAAUAAAAAUAUUAAUGCUGCGGAAAUGGCAAUUCCCUUCCGUUGUCUCCGAUCCGUGGCUCGGUAUUAAUCAGAAAUAAACAAAUGGCCGCUGCUGAGAUUCAGUCUCCGAGUUCUGUGCGGAAAGUUGUUGUUCAUCUUAGAGCUACUGGCGAUGCCCCUAUACUCAAACAAGUCAAAUUUAAGAUACCUGGAAGUGACAAGUUCGCUAAAGUAAUUGACUUUCUACGGCGGCAGCUUCAUCGGGAGACGUUGUUUGUUUAUGUCAACAGUGCGUUCUCGCCAAACCCAGAUGAAUUGGUAAUCGAUUUGUAUAACGUAAGCUGCUGUAUUGGGUUUGAAUAGAUGUUCGCUUCAUUGGGAUGUAUUUCAUCGUGUUUCAUUCUUAAAUUUUGGUUUUGAUGGUAAACUGGUGGUAAAUUAUGCUUGUUCCAUGGCGUGGGGCUAACGGUGAUGGGUGCUGUUGUAAAAUUGUUCAUGUGAAAUUUGGAUUAUUACUUCCAUGCAAGGAAACACGAUUUGCUGGUAGAUUGAAGGUGAUAUUUGGAAAUGAAAAGUGGAACUGAAUUUAAAUUCAUUAUGAUUUGAUUUGGAAAAGAUUUGUGCCUAAUAUGGGUAUGAAAAGGAUGUACUUCCCAUUGAUUGCUACCCAACUGCUGAAUAAAUUUUGAUGCAUAACCAAUGUUACAGUA